rnacentral:rRNA from 1 species
UACAGAGGUCCCAAGCGUUGUUCGGAUUCAUUGGGCGUAAAGGGUGCGUAGGUGGCGUCGUAAGUCGGGUGUGAAAUCUCGGGCUUAACUCCGAAACUGCAUUCGAUACUGCGCGGCUUCGAGACAGGUAGGGGAGAUCGGAAUUCCUGGUGUAGCGGUGAAAUGCGCAGAUAUCAGGAGGAACACCGGUGGCGAAGGCGGAUCUCUGGGCCUGUUCUGACGCUGAGGCGCGAAAGCUAGGGGAGCGAACAGG